rnacentral:rRNA from 1 species
GAAUAAGCUACUAAGAGCUAACGGCGGAUGCCUUGGCAUCGGAAGGCGAUGAAGGACGUGGAAAGCUGCGAUAAGCUUCGGGGAGUUGUUAACAUGCUUUGAUCCGGAGAUUUCCGAAUGGGGAAACCCAGCAGGAGUUAUAUCCUG